rnacentral:pre_miRNA from 1 species
AGCACUACCUUGUGACAUCGUCAAAUUCGGCCAUAAUGUCUAGGUUGGGUUUGGGGUGUUACAAUAAAAAAAU